rnacentral:rRNA from 1 species
GAACGCUAGCGGCAGGCUUAACACAUGCAAGUCGAGGGGUAGAAGCAGCUUGCUGCUUUGAGACCGGCGCACGGGUGCGUAACGCGUAUACAAUCUACCUUUUACAGAGGGAUAGCCCAGAGAAAUUUGGAUUAAUACCUCAUAGUAUUUUCGAAUCGCAUGGUUUGUAUAUUAAAGUUCCAACGGUAAAAGAUGAGCAUGCGUCCCAUUAGUUAGUUGGUAAGGUAACGGCUUACCAAGACGAUGAUGGGUAGGGGUCCUGAGAGGGAGAUCCCCCACACUGGUACUGAGACACGGACCAGACUCCUACGGGAGGCAGCAGUGAGGAAUAUUGGACAAUGGGCGCAAGCCUGAUCCAGCCAUGCCGCGUGCAGGAAGAAGCAUCUAUGGUGUGUAAACUGCUUUUGCACAGGAAGAAACAACGCUACGUGUAGCGUCUUGACGGUACUGUGAGAAUAAGGAUCGGCUAACUCCGUG